rnacentral:tRNA from 12 species
CGGGGUGUAGCUCAGUUGGCUAGAGUGCACGGUUCGGGACCGUGAGGCCGGCGGUUCGAGUCCGCCCACCCCGACCA